GAUGAACGCUGGCGGCGUGCCUAAUACAUGCAAGUCGAGCGAACAGACGAGGAGCUUGCUCCUCUGACGUUAGCGGCGGACGGGUGAGUAACACGUGGAUAACCUACCUAUAAGACUGGGAUAACUUCGGGAAACCGGAGCUAAUACCGGAUAAUAUAUUGAACCGCAUGGUUCAAUAGUGAAAGACGGUUUUGCUGUCACUUAUAGAUGGAUCCGCGCCGCAUUAGCUAGUUGGUAAGGUAACGGCUUACCAAGGCAACGAUGCGUAGCCGACCUGAGAGGAUGAUCAGCCACACUGGAACUGAGACACGGUCCAGACUCCUACGGGAGGCAGCAGUGGGGAAUCUUCCGCAAUGGGCGAAAGCCUGACGGAGCAACGCCGCGUGAGUGAUGAAGGUCUUCGGAUCGUAAAGCUCUGUUAUUAGGGAAGAACAAAUGUGUAAGUAACUAUGCACGUCUUGACGGUACCUAAUCAGAAAGCCACGGCUAACUACGUG
rnacentral:rRNA from 1 species